rnacentral:rRNA from 1 species
UACAGAGGUCCCAAGCGUUGUUCGGAAUUACUGGGUGUAAAGGGUUCGUAGGCGGUGUGGCAAGUCGGGAGUGAAAUCUCUGGGCUCAACCCAGAGUCUGCUUCCGAAACUGCUGUGCUUGAGUGUGGGAGAGGCGCGUGGAAUUGCAGGUGUAGCGGUGAAAUGCGUAGAUAUCUGCAGGAACACCCGUGGCUAAGGCGGCUCUCUAGUACGGUACUGACGCUGAGACGCGAAAGCGUGGGGAGCGAACAGG